rnacentral:rRNA from 1 species
AGGAUCAACGCUGGCGGCGUGCAUGAGACAUGCAAGUCGAACGGAUGACUCGGGCUUGCUCGAGUCGUUAGUGGCGGACGGCUGAGUAACGCGUGGGUGACCUGCCCCGAAGUGGGGAAUAACUGCCCGAAAGGGUGGCUAAUACCGCAUGUGGUGGUGCGUUCAAUCGCACCAGUAAAGCCGCAAGGCGCUUCGGGAGGGGCCUGCGUCCGAUUAGCUCGUUGGUGGGGUAACGGCUCACCAAGGCGACGAUCGGUAGGUGGUCUGAGAGGACGAUCACCCAGACUGGGACUGAGACACGGCCCAGACUCCUACGGGAGGCAGCAGUCGGGAAUUUUGCUCAAUGGGGGAAACCCUGAAGCAGCAACGCCGCGUGAGGGAUGAAGGCCUUCGGGUUGUAAACCUCUUUCUCAGGGAAGAUAAUGACGGUACCUGAGGAAUAAGCCACGGCUAACUACGUGCCAGCAGCCGC